AGAGUUUGAUCCUGGCUCAGGAUGAACGCUAGCUACAGGCUUAACACAUGCAAGUCGAGGGGUAGCAGGGUAGCAAUACCGCUGACGACCGGCGCACGGGUGAGUAACACGUAUCCAACCUUCCCAUAACUCAGGGAUAGCCUUUCGAAAGAAAGAUUAAUACCUGAUAGUACUUUUUCAAGGCAUCUUGAAAAGUUAAAGAUUUAUGGUUAUGGAUGGGGAUGCGUUCCAUUAGAUAGUUGGUGAGGUAACGGCUCACCAAGUCUUCGAUGGAUAGGGGUUCUGAGAGGAAGGUCCCCCACAUUGGUACUGAGAGACGGACCAAACUCCUACGGGAGGCAGCAGUGAGGAAUAUUGGUCAAUGGGCGAGAGCCUGAACCAGCCAAGUAGCGUGAAGGAAUGAAGGUCCUAUGGAUUGUAAACUUCUUUUAUAGUAGAAUAAAGUGAGCCACGUGUGGUUUUUUGUAUGUAUACUAUGAAUAAGGAUCGGCUAACUCCGUGCCAGCCGCUGC
rnacentral:rRNA from 1 species